GAUGAACGCUGGCGGCGUGCCUAAUACAUGCAAGUCGAGCGAACAGACGAGGAGCUUGCUCCUCUGACGUUAGCGGCGGACGGGUGAGUAACACGUGGAUAACCUACCUAUAAGACUGGGAUAACUUCGGGAAACCGGAGCUAAUACCGGAUAAUAUAUUGAACCGCAUGGUUCAAUAGUGAAAGACGGUUUUGCUGUCACUUAUAGAUGGAUCCGCGCCGCAUUAGCUAGUUGGUAAGGUAACGGCUUACCAAGGCAACGAUGCGUAGCCGACCUGAGAGAGGGGUCGGCGACACUGGAACGGAGACACGGUCCAGACUCCUACGGGAGGCAGCAGUAGGGAAUCUUCCGCAAUGGGCGAAAGCCUGACGGAGCAACGCGGCGUGAGAGAUGAAGGUCUUCGGAUCGUAAAGCUCUGUUAUUAGGGAAGAACAAAUUUGUAAGUAACUAUGCACGUCUUGACGGUACCUAAUCAGAAAGCCACGGCUAACUACGUG
rnacentral:rRNA from 1 species